rnacentral:rRNA from 1 species
UACGAAGGGGGCUAGCGUUGUUCGGAGUUACUGGGCGUAAAGGGCGCGUAGGCGGCCUUCCAGGUCGGGUGUGAAAGCCCACGGCUCAACCGUGGAAUUGCACUCGAGACUGAAGGGCUCGAGGACGGGAGAGGAUGGUGGAAUUCCCAGUGUAGAGGUGAAAUUCGUAGAUAUUGGGAAGAACACCGGUGGCGAAGGCGGCGACCUGGUCCGAUACUGACGCUGAGGCGCGAAAGCGUGGGGAGCAAACAGG